rfam:Bombyx mori DNA, contig: Bm_scaf188_contig41280, strain: p50T/Dazao, build 2, whole genome shotgun sequence.
UUAACUCAAAUUAGUAUGGAGUUGGACAGUGUUCCUAAGUUUGUCGCUAGGGGCGCUGUUCCAAUUGCAUACAAAUUUGAGUUA